rnacentral:rRNA from 1 species
GGCUCAGAAUCAACGCUGGCGGCGUGCCUAACACAUGCAAGUCGAACGAGAAAGUCCCGCAAGGGAUGAGUAGAGUGGCGCACGGGUGAGUAACACGUGGAUAACCUGCCUUAAAGGGGGGGAUAACAUCUCGAAAGGGGUGCUAAUACCGCAUAAGACCUGGCUUGAGAUAGCGGGGUUAAAAGGGGCAAUUCGCUUUAAGAGGGGUCCGCGGCUGAUUAGCUAGUUGGUAAGGUAACGGCUUACCAAGGCGACGAUCAGUAGCCGUCCUGAGAGGGAGCACGGCCACACUGGAACUGAGACACGGUCCAGACUCCUACGGGAGGCAGCAGUGGGGAAUUUUUGGCAAUGGGCGCAAGCCUGACCAAGCAACGCCGCGUGGGUGAUGAAGUAUCUUGGUACGUAAAACCCUUUCGGCAGGGACGAAACAAAUGACGGUACCUGCAGAAGAAGCUCCGGCUAACUCCGUGCCAGCAGCCGCGGUAAUACGGGGGGAGCAAGCGUUGUUCGGAAUUACUGGGCGUAAAGGGCGCGCAGGCGGUUGGAUAAGUAGGUGGUGAAAACCUUGGGCUUAACUCAGGGCCUGCCAUCUAAACUGUCUGGCUAGAGUGUGGGAGAGGGAAGUGGAAUUCCAGGUGUAGCGGUGAAAUGCGUAGAUAUCUGGAGGAACACCGGUGGCGAAGGCGGCUUCCUGGACCACAACUGACGCUGAGGCGCGAAAGCUAGGGGAGCAAACAGGAUUAGAUACCCUGGUAGUCCUAGCUGUAAACGAUGGAUACUUGCUGUGGGGGGGGUUAAAGCCUCCGUGGCGGAGCUAACGCAUUAAGUAUCCCGCCUGGGGAGUACGGUCGCAAGUCUGAAACUC